AGAAAAUAUUAAUUCGUUGACAUUCAAUUCAGAAACAGAAAAGGCAAGAUUCUUAGCAUCAACAGUCCAUGAAUCAAGCGCCUGGCUAACAGCUUUGCCGUCAAAAUUCAUCGGAACAUUAUUGGACAAUAACACGUUCAGAAUUUCAAUUGCUUUACGUAUUGGAGCUAAGAUUUGUAAACGUCAUAAAUGCAGAUGUGGAGAAAUCGUCAGUGAAGAUGGUUCUCAUGGACUUAAUCACUCCAGUCGGCAAAUGUACCAUCUAUGCGAGAACCUCCUGGGAUGUUCAGAGAUGAUAGAAAAAGAGUAGACGGAGUGACUUUGAUACCAUGGCGUAACGGUCAAUCAAUGGUUUGGGACGCAACGUGCUCAGAUACUCUGGCCCCAUCGUAUCUACGUUUGUCAAGCAAAUCGCCCGGUAGAGUUGCAAAUAAGGCAGCAAAUAUUAAAUUGGGGAAAUAUAAGAAAUUGAUAGAAGAUAAUUAUAUAAUCAUUCCAUUUGCAAUAGA